rnacentral:tRNA from 2 species
GGGCCGUUAGCUCAGUUGGUAGAGCAGGUGGCUCUUAACCACUUGGUCGUAGGUUCGAGUCCUACACGGCCCACCA